AUGGAGCCAUGCUGUUUAGAGAGAGAACAAAGACGAAGAAACCGAAUCAAAGAUGAAAAUGCUAUGAAGAUGACUGGAUCGACAUUUGAAGAUGAUCGGUGGAAGUCACGAAUGGAGGCCGAAUUAGAAGCGACGAUUGAAACAAAUCGAAGACAGAAUCGCGAGAAAUUUACAUUUGCAGUUCCUAAGGAUUUUGAUCCAGACAAAGACCUGAUAAAACUUGGCAUUGCAAGUCAGACAACAAUGCUCAAGGGAGAGACUGCAGAGAUUUGUUAG